AGAAAAAAAUAAUUAAUAUUAACUGAAGCUUAAAUGAUUUAUUAGUGGAAUGCUACUCACCGCAAUCUUUGAUCUAGCGUAAAUUUACAUUGAAUUUCAUACACAUGGCGUUAGGCAUUCAAUUGGAGUAAAACCAAAUGUGUAUCCUCAAUUCUGAGCGAUAAAUCAUAUUAUCUUAAACGAACGCACCAAAGUUCAAUUGACUCUGUCGUGACUUUACGCGAUUCUCAUGUAAAAUCAAUGUCUGAUGCUUAGACGAUCGCCGCAGCGCUGGCUUGUCAGUCAGCCAUAUUGUUUGUUUGAGUUCCGUGCGAAAAAUUAUCCAAGUUUUGGUAGGGAUUAAAAUUUCGUUGAUUCCAGCUAAUUUACCAGUAAAAAGGUGCCAACAUUUGGUCAUCGUAAUCACGAGCCUACGUGAGGAAGGCAUCGACCAAUCGCGUUUGCACGGGUGCAUCACGGAAUAUGUUUUUUCGACGAUGUUCCCGCUGAGAGAAGUUGAACGAUGCCAUCCAAACCAGGAACGGAACAAUCUACUGCAGUGGCUAAUAGUGGAGGCAGCGGCGGCGAUUGCUGACUCAGUCUGAUUAGCAAACGAUGCCAGUGGAAAGUGCAAAAAAUCGUUCCUUGUCAGAAAAGAAUGUCAACAAUCAAAGUGAAGUGCCAAUAUCAUGUGUUAUAGAUUUGAAUCAUUUUGAAUAAAACAAAGCAUGUAUGUUUAUUGAA